CCCCUAGUAACUGCGAGUGAAGGGGGAUUAGCCCAGCACCGAAGCCUGCGGCCGUUUGGCUGCUAGGCAAUGUGGUGUUCAGGUUGACUCUUGGCAUUACUGCUCCAUCCUAAGUCCAGCACUGAGUAUGGCAUCUGGAGUGGCCCAUUGAGGGUGAAAGGCCCGUGGGGGUGGAGAUCAAGUCGGCCAGUAUUGCCCUGAGUAGACCUUGGAGUCGGGUUGUUUGUGAAUGCAGCCCAAAGCGGGUGGUAAACUCCAUCCAAGGCUAAAUACAAGCACGAGUCCGAUAGCGAACAAGUACCGUGAGGGAAAGUUGAAAAGUACUUUGAAGAGAGAGUAAACAGUGCGUGAAACCGCUCAGAGGUAAACGGGUGGAGUUGAACUGUAAGCUCCGGGGAUUCAGCUGGUGAGUGUGUCGUGGGCUUGGUCAUUUUCGGCCGGCCUCUGGAGUCCGCUUAGCUGCGGGUCCUUGCUUCUUCGGGAGUAGGGAUGUGCGUUGCGCUUAUCAAGUGCUGUGCGCUCUGGAGGUUGCCGGGCUGGCUCGCCAGUGCACUUUCUCGGAGUGGUCACCACGACCGGCGUUGUUGCCUUGCUGCUGUGGUCGAACCGGUCAGGUUUGGUCC
rnacentral:rRNA from 1 species